GUAUUGUAAUGUACUGUAUUGUAAUGUGUUAUAAUGUAAUGUAUUAUAAUGUAAUGUAUUGUAUUGUAAUGUACUGUAUUGUAAUGUGUUAUAAUGUAUUGUAUUGUAACAUAUUGUAUUGUAAUGUAUUAUAAUGUAAUGUAUUGUAUUGUAAUGUACUGUAUUGUAAUGUGUUAUAAUGUAUUGUAAUGUACUGUAUUGUAAUGUGUUAUAAUGUAUUGUAAUGUGUUAUAAUGUAUUGUAAUGUAUUGUAUUGUAAUGUACUGUAUUGUAUUGUAACAUAUUGUAUUGUAAUGUAUUAUAAUGUAUUGUAAUGUACUCUAUUGUAAUGUAUUAUAAUGUAAUGUAUUGUAUUGUAAUGUACUGUAUUGUAAUGUAUUGUAUUGUAACAUAUUGUAUUGUAAUGUAUUAUAAUGUAAUGUAUUGUAUUGUAAUGUAUUAUAAUGUAAUGUAUUGUAUUGUAAUGUACUGUAUUGUAAUGUAUUGUAAUGUAUUGUAAUGUAUUGUAAUGUACUGUAUUGUAAUGUAUUGUAUUGUAAUGUAUUGUAUUGUAACAUAUUGUAUUGUAAUGUAUUAUAAUGUAAUGUAUUGUAUUGUAAUGUACUGUAUUGUAAUGUAUUAUAAUGUAAUGUAUUGUAUUGUAAUGUACUGUAUUGUAAUGUAAUGUAUUGUAUUGUAAUGUAUUGUAUUGUAAUGUAUUAUAAUGUAAUGUAUUGUAUUGUAAUGUACUGUAUUGUAAUGUAUUGUAUUGUAAUGUACUGUAUUGUAAUGUAUUGUAUUGUAAUGUACUGUAUUGUAAUGUAUUGUAUUGUAAUGUACUGUAUUGUAAUGUAUUAUAAUGUAAUGUAUUGUAUUGUAAUGUACUGUAUUGUAAUGUAAUGUAUUGUAUUGUAAUGUAUUGUAUUGUAAUGUAUUAUAAUGUAAUGUAUUGUAUUGUAAUGUACUGUAUUGUAAUGUAUUGUAUUGUAAUGUACUGUAUUGUAAUGUGUAGGGAAUUUGGUGAUGUCUGUGGAUUUGGUUGCCUUCAUGUUACUAAAAGUCUUCAUUACAAAUGGCACCCUAUUCCCCACAUAGUGCGCUACAUCCAUAUGACACACACACACACACACUACCUUUACACUAUAUAGGGAAUAGGGGUUGUAUUUGUGUGUGUGUGUGUGUGUGUGUGACAGAGAGAGAGAGAGAGAGAGAGGUUAAUAUGCACAGCAGUUAUUGUUGAUUGACAGAUUUCUGAAUCAUGAGUAGGACCGUGUCAAACAGAGUGUGUUCUGGUCUAUAGUGUGUGAGGUAUUACAGAACAGAGUGUGUUCUGGUCUAUAGUGUGUGAGGUAUUACAGAACAGAGUGUGUUCUGGUCUAUAGUGUGUGAAGUAUUACAGAACAGAGUGUGUUCUGGUCUAUAGUGUGUGAGGUAUUACAGAACAGAGUGUGUUCUGGUCUAUAGUGUGUGAGGUAUUACAGAACAGAGUGUGUUCUGGUCUAUAGUGUGUGAAGUAUUACAGAACAGAGUGUGUUCUGGUCUAUAGUGUGUGAAGUAUUACAGAACAGAGUGUGUUCUGGUCUAUAGUGUGUGAGGUAUUACAGAACAGAGUGUGUUCUGGUCUAUAGUGUGUGAAGUAUUACAGAACAGAGUGUGUUCUGGUCUAUAGUGUGUGAAGUAUUACAGAACAGAGUGUGUUCUGGUCUAUAGUGUGUGAAGUAUUACAGAACAGAGUGUGUUCUGGUCUAUAGUGUGUGAAGUAUUACAGAACAGAGUGUGUUCUGGUCUAUAGUGUGUGAAGUAUUACAGAACAGAGUGUGUUCUGGUCUAUAGUGUGUGAAGUAUUACAGAACAGAGUGUGUUCUGGUCUAUAGUGUGUGAAGUAUUACAGAACAGAGUGUGUUCUGGUCUAUAGUGUGUGAAGUAUUACAGAACAGAGUGUGUUCUGGUCUAUAGUGUGUGAAGUAUUACAGAACAGAGUGUGUUCUGGUCUAUAGUGUGUGAAGUAUUACAGAACAGAGUGUGUUCUGGUCUAUAGUGUGUGAAGUAUUACAGAACAGAGUGUGUUCUGGUCUAUAGUGUGUGAGGUAUUACAGAACAGAGAGAACAGCAGAGAGGGGAAAUAAAUUAAAGGCAGAUGUACUGGUAUAUAAUGUGACAGUGCAUCGGGAUCUGAAACUGUAUUUCAGCGUGACAUGCUGGAAUGUGGAGUACAAUUUAGCAAAAAUAUGUGGAUUACAAUUUAGCAUUUUGUGUCACUGAAUGUGACAUAUCAUGAUUCUCUUAAAGAUAGAAUCCUUAUUUGCUACAUACUUUGUUGGACUUAUUAAUGAUAUGUACCCAUUGAUUCUAGAAGAAUCACUUCUAAAUGUCUCGUGAGUUUAGUUCAACUGUCGUACCCCAUCAGUACCCAACAUAUAAGCUUGUUUAAUAUUGUUUAUUUACUCCGAUGUUUGUAAACAACGGAAAUGUAAACAAACA